AGCGAGGCUAGAGUCACACCUUGAUAUUACCUGUUAUCCUGGUGUGCUAUAGCACUCGUAGAGGAAAAUCUUUGCUUAUUCAUUGGCUGUAGUCUGUUGUGGCCCAGUCAAUCACCAACUCAGAAACAUUA
ensembl:snoRNA small nucleolar RNA SNORA3/SNORA45 family